rnacentral:rRNA from 1 species
AGGACGAACGCUGGCGGCGUGCCUAAAACAUGCAAGUCGAACGAGGUAGCAAUACUUAGUGGCGAACGGCGGAGUAAUACAUAAGCAACGUGCCCUGAAGACUGGGAUAGCCGGGGGAAACCCCGAGUAAUACCGGAUGUGGCCGUCGGAGGACAUCCUUUGACGAUUAAAUGGUUUUUCGCUUCAGGAGCGGCUUAUGGCCCUAUCAGGUAGUUGGUGGGGUAAUGGCCUACCAAGCCGACGACGGUAGCGGGUCUGAGAGGAUGAUCCGCUCGAGUGGGACUGAGACACGGCCCACACACCUACGGGUGGCAGCAGUUGGGAAUCUUGCACAA